CUGACGUUAGCGGCGGACGGGUGAGUAACACGUGGGUAACCUACCUAUAAGACUGGGAUAACUUCGGGAAACCGGAGCUAAUACCGGAUAACAUUUGGAACCGCAUGGUUCAAUAGUGAAAGACGGUUUCGGCUGUCACUUAUAGAUGGACCCGCGCCGUAUUAGCUAGUUGGUAAGGUAACGGCUUACCAAGGCGACGAUACGUAGCCGACCUGAGAGGGUGAUCGGCCACACUGGAACUGAGACACGGUCCAG
rnacentral:rRNA from 1 species